rnacentral:snRNA from 1 species
AUACUUACCUGGCAGGGGAGAUACCAUGAUCACGAAGGUGGUUUCCCCAAGGCGAGGCUUAUCCAUUGCACUCCAGAUGUGCUGACCCCUGCGAUUUCCCCAAAUGUGGGAAACUCCACUGCAUAAUUUGUUGUAGUGGGGGACUGCAUUUGUGCUUUCCUCUU